GCUUCUGUAAUAAUAUAGCUCAGUGGGUACAGCACAAGACUCUUAAUCUCAGCGCCAUGGGUUUGAGCCUCACUUUGGGCA